rnacentral:rRNA from 1 species
GACGAACGCUGGCGGCGUGCUUAACACAUGCAAGUCGAACGGAAAGGCCCCUUCGGGGGUCCUCGAGUGGCGAACAGGUGCGUAACACGUGAGUAACCUGCCCUUGCCUUCGGGAUAACUUCAGGAAACUGGGGCUAAUACCGGAUAGGAAUCCUUGCUGCAUGGUGGGGGUUGGAAAGCUUCGGCGGUUUUGGAUGGACUCGCGGCUUAUCAGCUUGUUGGUGGGGUAGUGGCUUACCAAGGCUUUGACGGGUAGCCGGCCUGAGAGGGCGACCGGCCACAUUGAGACUGAGAUACGGCCCAGACUCCGACGGGAGGCAGAAGUGGGGAAUAUUGCACAAUGGGCGGAGGCCGGAUGCAGAAACGCCGCGUGCGGGAAGACGGCCUUCGGGUUGAAAACCGCUUUCAGCAGGGGCGAAGCUUGUGGUGACGGUACCUGCAGAAGAAGCACCGGCUAACUACGUG